AGCACUAUAUUUAAACCUAUGGAUGGGAAUUUUCCCCCCGUUCCUGGUUACGCUGUAGUGCAAUAAGAAUUCCUGGCUCUUUGAUGCACAGCUGACAUGUACCAUUUUGUUGUUGCUUUAUGGAGUUAAGGAACAUGA